CAAAGGAAACUUUAGCAAAUGUGCAGUAACAUGGCUGCAGCCCAAGUCGCCAUUCAGAGUGUAAUUCCACUCCAUUGAGGACUCAGCAGGAUUGGUUGCAGCAGAUGAACAAGUCACUCUGUUAUCCUGAAGUGUGACAAAUGCCACCGCAAUGCUGCCUGGAGAAGAAGGGACUGAACACAAGUUUCAAGCCCAAUUGCUACCUGAGAAAGCUGAAGAAAAAGAGUGUCAGCACUCUGCCAGAAAAUGUUGAGGGUGCAAGCACAGUGGGAUUUGGGUUCCCUCCACUGCAAUCCAAUGGACUUUAGACAAAUCACUUUGGGUAUGUCUAUAUUAAGAGAGUGAAGGCUCAAAACGCCUCAACAAUUCCUCUGGGGCCUCUCUAGGCCAGGAAGAAGAAGCAAGAGAGAAGUGCAAAGCAAACUUUAGCUCACUGCUGGCGUUUGGGAGUGUAUUUCCUUUUGAUAUAACAUCUCAGGCAGAGUUCUGCAUCAGCAUUUCCAUAUUUUAUGAGCCUCAGACUGUUAUAUCCCCGCAACACCACCCAAGCUCACCUAAUUGGAAUGAAAUCAAAAAUAAAAACCAAAAAACCAUAAC